rnacentral:rRNA from 1 species
GAUGAACGCUAGCGGGAGGCCUAACACAUGCAAGCCGAGCGGUAGAGUUUCUUCGGAAACUUGAGAGCGGCGCACGGGUGCGUAACACGUGUGCAACCUACCUUUAUCUGGGGGAUAGCCUUUCGAAAGGAGGAUUAAUACCCCAUAAUAUAAUGAUUGGCAUCAAUUAUUAUUGAAAACUCCGGUGGAUAGAGAUGGGCACGCGCAAGAUUAGAUAGUUGGUGAGGUAACGGCUCACCAAGUCAAUGAUCUUUAGGGGUCCUGAGAGGGAGAUCCCCCACACUGGUACUGAGACACGGACCAGACUCCUACGGGAGGCAGCAGUGAGGAAUAUUGGACAAUGGGUGAGAGCCUGAUCCAGCCAUCCCGCGUGAAGGAUGACGGUCCUAUGGAUUGUAAACUUCUUUUGUACAGGGAUAAACCUACCCUCGGGAGGGUAGCUGAAGGUACUGUACGAAUAAGCACCGGCUAACUCCGUG